rnacentral:rRNA from 1 species
GGGAGGUAGUGACAAUAAAUAACAAUACAGGGCUCUUACGGGUCUUGUAAUUGGAAUGAGUACAAUUUAAAUCUCUUAACGAGGAACAAUUGGAGGGCAAGUCUGGUGCCAGCAGCCGCGGUAAUUCCAGCUCCAAUAGCGUAUAUUAAAGUUGUUGCAGUUAAAAAGCUCGUAGUUGAAUUUCGGGAUUCUACCGUUGGUCAGGCUAACAAGUCUGUACUAGUGAGUAGAAUUCCUACCUUCUGGGGAACUAUCAUGUUAUUUAUUUAGCGUGGUGGGAAACCAGGACCUUUACCUUGAAAAAAUUAGA